UAAAUCUGCUUGUGUGGUUGCCUGAAUCUU
rnacentral:piRNA from 1 species